GGGUUUCUACAACUCAAACCCACCGCUAUUUUUCCUUUCUUCGAAAAUCCGUCAAAUAUCAAUCGUAACGAUUCAAGGUUAGAUGUAUCUUUACAACGAUCGAUUCAUCCCCAUCAUCAUGGUUAUGAAAAUCUCACAUCAAUGCACAAUUAUAAAUAAAACCGUAAUUCUCUUUUCAUUGUUGCACCAAGAGCGCCACAUCUGGCACCAUCGGUUUAAUCUUUGCUUCGUUGCCGAUUUUGGGGUUUUCAUCCCCUCGAGUCGUUCUCUGCCUCCCGUCCAUUCUAUACAAAAUUGAUUAUCUUAUUUUUCAAGAUCCUUCUCUUAUCCUUCCAUCUUGCUUUCUCUAAUAGAUCAUAGGAGAACAUAGAUUGCUAUUGUAACGAAAGGGACCGGUUUUUAUUAUUGAGAUAUAAUCGAUGCAGAGAUAGGUUUCGUAUCUUCACAGUUCUUCUUUCCAUUGAAGAUUGUUUUUCUUCAUUCCUCUUUUCAUUUAGUUUUUUAUUUUAACUUGCGUGGUAUUAGGUUUUAGAUGAUGAUACAUUCGUCUGGGAUCUUGUUUAUGGUUACUUGCUUCAUGAUUGGUUUUGAACUUUCAAAAGUUUAAGAUGUUAGUACCUCUAAAGAGAUGAACUAGGGAGUUUGAUUUAAAUUGAUUAUGUGUUCACUUUUUUAGGUUUGAAAUUUGAUGAUAUGCACGAAAGAAAAGCUGAGAUGCCUCGCCAAGCUGACGCCUUUAUCGCUCAUCUGGAACCCAUUUGAUGUACCUUCGAGCCAUGCUUAUUAUGUGGGAACAUGGGACGAACUCAAACCUCGACGUACAAGACUGUUUCAUGUUCAAAAUUCAAAUCGUUAUCACCUCUACUUAGCCCUUGCAAUCGCAUUCCACAAUUGUUCUCUAUCUAGCUAAAGUUUUAUGGCUGCAUCGUAUAAACUACCGCAUCACAAAACACAUCGGUUAUGAACUGCGAUACUGCCACAAACACACUGCAUUUUCGGCAUGUACUAUCAUAUGGUUCCGAAUCCAUGUCAAUUAGGCAUUUGAAGUUUCCGAUUAAGUUCCGGUUGACAACCCAGAAACUCUUCUACAUUCUUCUGGAAAUCUGAUUGAGGAGAGUGGAAGACUUCAUCAAGCAAUGCUAUAUUCCAGGUUUUGUUGUAAUUAAUGUCAUUGAUUAUGCCUUCAUCUGAUCUUUUUUCUUUGAAUAACCACAUCGAGAAUUGUGUUUUAACAUCGCUGGUGUCUGACCAGUGGUAGAAGCAUCUGUUUGCCAUCUAGAUUUUUGUUGGAUUUGCU
rnacentral:lncRNA from 1 species